rnacentral:rRNA from 1 species
AGAGUUUGAUCCUGGCUCAGGAUAAACGCUGGCGGCAUGCCUAAUACAUGCAAGUCGAACGGAGCGGAUGGUGCUUGCACCAUCCAAUCAGUGGCGAACGGGUGAGUAACACGUGGUUAACUUGUCCAAUGGAGAGGGACAACUUUUGGAAACGAAAGCUAAGACCUCAUAGGUGGCAACAUUAAAGGUCCUAAUGGGAU